AUUUUAUUCAAUAUCAAAGCUAUAUGAUUUAUAUGGACAAUUUUCAAUUUAAAAUACACAACUGAAUGCAAUAUUUGUGUGUCGCACUGCAAUUUUUGUUAGCUUAGCAACAGUUCUCUCAUGCUUUCAUGUGAAAAAGGCUUUUUUUUGUGUAACAUAAAUAGCAUUUCAAAUCAAUAAUUUAUGAGGAUUCAUUCUGCUUAUGAUUCUGGACUCGAAAGGGUGUUGCUUAUUCAGAUAGUGAACGUCAAAGCAGCUCAUUAGCAUUGUAGUAUGUUUUUUUCACUGUUUUUAUAACUUAACAUCACUUCUCUAUUCUUGCCUUCACAGCUCCGGUGUGUCGCUGCCAUGGCGACCCUAACCCCCUGCUUCUUAUGGAUCUUUGCUCUCCUCCAAUUGGCUGUCUGCUCGUUUCCAGAGGAACCUGGCCCUUUAAUCUCUGCCCCUGCUGAGGUGGUGAGACGAUAUCCAGUGUUCGUGGGCCGAGCGCAUCGCUCUUACACCCGUCAGGAGCCACUCUACAUUCAGACCGUCCUGAAAGUCAACCGUACACUCUACAUCGGAGCCAGAGAUGACCUUUAUCGAGUGGAACUGGACCAUGUAUCUGGAGAUGAAAUGUUCUACAGCAAGGUGAGACAUUGUACCGCUGUCUCUCUCUCUCUCUCUCUCUCUCUCUCUCUCUCUCUCUCUCUCUCUCUCUCUCUCUCUCUCUCUCUCUCUCUCUCUCUCUCUCUCUCUCUUGUUUUCCCAUAAAUUUCGGUGAUGAUUUUACUCCCUUGCUGUUUUGCAGAAAAGGACGUGGGAAUCCAAUAAGAAUGACAUCCGCAUCUGUAGAAUGAAGGGCAAACACGAGGUGAGCAUUCAAAUAACACAAAGUUUUUUCACAUUUCACGGCCAUUUUUAGCACCGUCUUAGCGAGGAAAUUCAUUCACAGCACUUUGAGUGAUUUACUAUUGCCAAGAGCUUGAUGUUUCAAAUCUGUGGCAGAGCUGGAUACAGUCUCACACAAAUAAAUUCUCCUGAAGAGUAAAUGUACA
ensembl:lncRNA